rnacentral:rRNA from 1 species
UACAGAGGGGGCAAGCGUUGUUCGGAAUUACUGGGCGUAAAGGGCGCGUAGGUGGCCUUCUAAGUUGAACGUGAAAUCCCUGGGCUCAACCCAGGAACUGCGUCCAAGACUGGGAGGCUUGAAUCCGGGAGAGGGAUGCGGAAUUCCAGGUGUAGCGGUGAAAUGCGUAGAUAUCGGGAGGAACACCUGUGGCGAAAGCGGCGCACUGGACCACAUCUGACGCUGAGGCGCGAAAGCUAGGGGAGCAAACAGG